UACAGAGGUCUCAAGCGUUUGUUCGGAUUCAUUGGGCGUAAAGGGUGCGUAGGCGGCGCGGUAAGUCGGGUGGUGAAAUCUCGGAGCUUAACUCCGAAACUGCAUUCGAUACUGCCGUGCUUGAGGACUGGAGAGGAGACUGGAAUUUACGGUGUAGCGGUGAAAUGCGUAGAUAUCGUAAGGAAGACCAGUGGCGAAGGCGGGUCUCUGGACAGUUCCUGACGCUGAGGCACGAAGGUCAGGGGAGCAAACGGG
rnacentral:rRNA from 1 species